rnacentral:rRNA from 1 species
UACGUAGGGGGCCAGCGUUGUCCGGAUUUAUUGGGCGUAAAGAGCGUGUAGGCGGCCAGGUAGGUCUGGUGUGAAAACUCGAGGCUCAACCUCGAGAUGUCAUCGGAAACCAUCUGGCUAGAGUCCGGAAGAGGAGAGUGGAAUUCCUGGUGUAGCGGUGAAAUGCGCAGAUAUCAGGAGGAACACCGGUGGCGAAGGCGGGUCUCUGGGCAGUAACUGACGCUGAGGAACGAAAGCGUGGGUAGCAAACAGG